GGUGGUGUUAGUGAAGGCAAGCAGACUUGGAAGUCUGGAAGAUGCAGGUUCAAAUCCUGCCUCCACCA
rnacentral:tRNA from 1 species